AUAUUAGUCAAUGCUCUCAAGAGUGAACUAGCUAACUGAAAUCAUUUGUGUGUCACAAGUGAUAACGUAAGGGAAAAUCAUGAUAUUACCUUACUAUAAGUGUCGUCCAAAACUGGUGCCAGAAGACUCGGUAAGGCCAGAGACGCAAACGUUAAUCAUCUUUAUCAGGCGUAAAGGGUUUGUAGGCUGCUUUGAAAACUUUAUAUUUAAUAUAGACUCGCGUCCCUUGCAAACAGGAAGCGGGUAAAUGUAAAAUUAAUUAAAGCUAGAAUCAAAUAGAGGUUGUAUUAAAUAAUACUUAGAGGAGGAAUGAAAUCCAUAGAUCCUAAGGGGAAUACUCGAGGCGAAGGCUUUUCUUCCACUAAUGAUUGACGCUGAGAAACGAAGGUGAGGAUAGGAAAUAGGAUUAGAGACCCUGGUACCCCUCUCUGUCAACGAUGAAUGGUAGUUAUUAAUAUAAAUUAUUGGUGACGAUGUUAACACGAUAACCAUUCCGCCUUGUGAGUACGACUGCAAAGUUGAAAACAAAAAAAUUAGUCGGUCUCGAAGCAAACGAAGUGAAGCAUGUUAUUUAAUUC
rnacentral:rRNA from 1 species